rnacentral:lncRNA from 1 species
CCGUGACUGAAUUAAAGUAUAUAACUAUGCGCAAGCAUAAUUUUAGUAUUAGUAUUGUCAUCUGAUAAAGUUAUGCCGAUUAUAAGAUACACAGUUUUCUCUGCUUUCAAAUCUUUCUGUUUGAACCCGUCGAACUGGAACUUAUCAAUUAUUGGUAAUAUUAAUUAUUUGGAAAACAAAAGGUCCUGGAAUGGACUAUUUUUUCAUCAACAUCAUUGUCCUAUAUUAGUUAUAAAUAAAGUUGAAUUCUUUGAUUCGCUGUUUUACGUCAUGCCCGCA